rnacentral:rRNA from 1 species
AUUGAACGCUGGCGGCAUGCCUUACACAUGCAAGUCGAACGGUAACGGGCCUUCGGGUGCCGACGAGUGGCGAACGGGUGAGUAAUACAUCGGAACGUGCCCGAUCGUGGGGGAUAACGAGGCGAAAGCUUUGCUAAUACCGCAUACGAUCUACGGAUGAAAGCAGGGGACCGCAAGGCCUUGCGCGGACGGAGCGGCCGAUGGCAGAUUAGGUAGUUGGUGGGAUAAAAGCUUACCAAGCCGACGAUCUGUAGCUGGUCUGAGAGGAUGGUCAGCCACACUGGGACUGAGACACGGCCCAGACUCCUACGGGAGGCAGCAGUGGGGAAUUUUGGACAAUGGGCGCAAGCCUGAUCCAGCCAUGCCGCGUGCAGGAUGAAGGCCUUCGGGUUGUAAACUGCUUUUGUACGGAACGAAAAGCCUUCUUUUAAUACAGGAGGGUCAUGACGGUACCGUAAGAAUAAGCACCGGCUAACUACGUG